rnacentral:rRNA from 1 species
GAUGAACGCUGGCGGCGUGCCUAAUACAUGCAAGUCGAGCGAACGGACGAGAAGCUUGCUUCUCUGAUGUUAGCGGCGGACGGGUGAGUAACACGUGGAUAACCUACCUAUAAGACUGGGAUAACUUCGGGAAACCGGAGCUAAUACCGGAUGAUAUUUUGAACCGCAUGGUUCAAAAGUGAAAGACGGUCUUGCUGUCACUUAUAGAUGGAUCCGCGCUGCAUUAGCUAGUUGGUAAGGUAACGGCUUACCAAGGCAACGAUGCAUAGCCGACCUGAGAGGCUGAUCGGCCACACUGGAACUGAGACACGGUCCAGACUCCUACGGGAGGCAGCAGUAGGGAAUCUUCCGCAAUGGGCGAAAGCCUGACGGAGCAACGCCGCGUGAGUGAUGAAGGUCUUCGGAUCGUAAAACUCUGUUAUUAGGGAAGAACAUAUGUGUAAGUAACUGUGCACAUCUUGACGGUACCUAAUCAGAAAGCCACGGCUAACUACGUG